GGGCCUGUAGUGUAAUGGACAACACGAGCGGCUUCGGACCGCUAACUCCCGGUUCGAAUCCGGGCAGGCUCA
rnacentral:tRNA from 1 species